rnacentral:tRNA from 1 species
CGGGAAGUAGUUUAUUCAAAACAAGAACUUUGGGAGUUCUAAACUUAGUUGACCCUAACUUCCUGA